rnacentral:lncRNA from 1 species
CCAGGCUGGAGUGCAAUAGCACGAUCUCAGCUCACUGCAACCUCUGCCUCCUGGGUUCAAGCGAUUCUCCUGCUGCACCCUCCCAAGUAGCUGGGAUUAUAGGUGCGUGCCACCAUGCCUUGCUGAUUUUGUAUAUUUAUUAGAAACAGGCUCUCCCUCUCCCUCUCCCUCCCCACAGUCUCCCUCUCCCCCUCUUUCCACGGUCUCCCUCUGAUGCCGAGCCGAAGCUGGACUGUACUGCUGCCAUCUUGGCUCACUGCAACCUCCCUGCCUCAUUCUCCUGCCUCAGCCUGCCGAGUGCCUGUGAUUGCAGGCGCGCGCCGCCACGCCUGACUGGUUUUCGUAUUUUUUUGGUGGAGACGGGGUUUCGCUGUGUUGGCCGGGCCGGUCUCCAGCUCCUAACCGCUAGUGAUCCACCAGCCUCGGCCUCCCGAGGUGCUGGGAUUGCAGACGGAGUCUCGUUCACUCAGUGCUCAAUGGUGCCCAGGCUGGAGUGCAGUGCCGUGAUCUCGGCUCGCUACAACCUCCACCUCCCAACCGCCUGCCUUGGCCUCCCAAAGUGCCGAGAUUGCAGCCUCUGCCCGGCCGCCACCCCGUCUGGGAAGUGAGGAGCGUCUCUGCCUGGCCGCCCAUCGUCUGGGAUGUGAGGAGCCCCUCUGCCCGGCCGCCACCCCGUCUGGGAGGUGUACCCAACAGCUCAUUGAGAAUGGGCCAUGAUGACGAUGGCGGUUUUGUCAAAUAGAAAAGGGAGAAAUGUGGGGAAAAGAGAGAGAGAUCAGAUUGUUACUGUGCGUGUGUAGAAAGAAGUAGACAUAGGAGACUCCAUUUUGUUCUGUACUAAGAAAAAUUCUUCUGCCUUGGGAUGCUGUUAAUCUAUAACCUUACCCCCAACCCCGUGCUCUCUGAAACAUAUGCUGUGUCCACUCAGGGUUAAAUGGAUUAAGGGCGGUGCAAGAUGUGCUUUGUUAAACAGAUGCUUGAAGGCAGCAUGCUCGUUAAGAGUCAUCACCACUCCCUAAUCUCAAGUACCCAGGGAUACAAAAGCUGCGGAAGGCCGCAGGGCCCUCUGCCUAGGAAAACCAGAGACCCUUGUUCACGUUUAUCUGCUGACCUUCCCUCCACUAUUGUCCUAUGACCCUGCCAAAUCCCCCUCUCCGAUAAACACCCAAGAAUGAUCAAUAAAUACUAAAAAAAAAAAAAAAAAAAAAAAAAUUUUUGUGCCCUGCUACUGGCCUCAAGUGAUCGUCCUGCCUCGGCCUCCCACAGUGCUCGGAUUUCAGGUGUGAGCCACUGCGCCCAGCCCCAGCUGUGAAUUUGUUUAUAAAAACCCAGAGCAUUGAAAGUUUUAAGAGACGGCCCGGGUAAGUCUUCAGUGCAUCUCCUGCACAUGCUCCACACCUGCGUUACACUAAUCAUGCCACUAUCUCACUUCUCCAACCCUUUGAGCUUGCACUUUUUCCCUCUGCCUACAUCAGUGCUUCUCAAAUGUGGUAAAGGAUCAUUUAAAAAAAAUUUCCAAUCUAGACCAGGCAUGGUGAUGCAUACCUGUAGUCCCAGUUACUUAGAAGGCUGAGGUGGGAGGAUUGCUUGAGUCCAGGAGUUCAAGACCAGCCUGGGCAACACAGCAAGAUCCCAUGUCUUAAAAAAAAAAAACAAUCUACUGUGGACCCAUACUUAUGUAAAACACAAUAAGGCUGGGCGCGGUGGCUCACGCCUGUAAUCCCAGCACUUUGGGAGGUGGAGGCGGGUGGAUCACGAGGUCAGGAGAUGGAGACCAUCCUGGCUAACAUGGCAAAACCCCGUCUCUACUAAAAAAAAAAAAAAAAUACAAAAAUUUAGCCAGGCGUGGUGUUGGGCGCCUGUAGUCCCAGCUACUUGGGAGGCUGAGGCAGGAGAACGGUGUGAACCCGGGAGGCGGAGCUUGCAGUGAGCUGAGCUCGCGCCACUGCACUCCAGCCUGGGCGACAGAGUGAGACUCUGUCUCAAAAACAAACAAACAAAAAACAAGCAAACAAAAAACACAAUAAACUUAAAUGAUCAGAAAAUAACCACAUGCUUAGAUAUCAGAGCAAAGGCCCAGUCUCUCAAUGCACCCUCUUACUGAUGGCACCUGUCUUGUUAUGAACAGGUAACAGUGCAUCCACGCUGGUCUGGACCAGCUCUCCCUUCUCCCUGCCUGGUGAACCCUCAGGGUCCAACUGUCACUACUGUCUCCACUAUGUCUUCCUGAUGUUCCACCCCCGGUCACAUCCUCAAUACAUCUGUGACUUUCUUUUUAAAACGGCGUCUCGCUUUGUUGCCCAGGCUGGAGAGCAGUGGUGUGAUCUUGGCUCACUGCAACCUCCACCUCAUGGGUUCAAGCGAUUCUCCUGCCUCAGCCUCCCAAGCGGCUGCGACUACAGGCAUGUGCCCCCAUGCCCGGCUAAUUUUUGUAUUUUUAGUAGAGAGGGGGUUUCACUAUGUUGGCCAGGCUGGUCUGAAACUCCCAACCUUGUGAUCUGCCCACCUGGGCCUCCUAAAGUGCUGGGAUUACAGGCGUGAGCCACUGCGACUGGCCUUUUAAAACACCCAUUAUAACUUAUGUUACUAUAAUUUUCUGUUAAAUGUCAAAAAGCAGCAGG